rnacentral:sRNA from 1 species
AGCAACUGGAAAACAAGCAUUGCAUUGCAUCAGGAUGUCUAUGAAAUGGACUUCAGCUCUUCUGCUGAUACAGCUGAGCUGUUACUUUAGCUCUGGGAGUUGUGGAAAGGUGCUGGUGUGGCCCACAGAAUUCAGCCACUGGAUGAAUAUGAAGACAAUCCUGGAUGAACUUGUCCAGAGAGGUCAUGAGGUGACUGUAUUGGCAUCUUCAGCUUCCAUUUCUUUUGAUCCCAGCAGCCCAUCUACUCUUAAAUUUGAAGUUUAUCCUGUAUCUUUAACUAAAACUGAGUUUGAGGAUAUUAUCAAGCAGCUGGUUAAGAGAUGGGCAGAACUUCCAAAAGACACAUUUUGGUCAUAUUUUUCACAAGUACAGGAAAUCAUGUGGACAUUUAGUGACAUACUUAGAAAGUUCUGUAAGGAUAUAGUUUCAAAUAAGAAACUUAUGAAGAAACUACAGGAGUCAAGAUUUGAUGUUGUUCUUGCAGAUGCUGUUUUCCCCUUUGGAAGACCCACUACGUUAUCUGAGACAAUGGCAAAAGCUGACAUAUGGCUUAUUCGAAACUACUGGGAUUUUCAAUUUCCUCACCCACUCUUACCAAAUGUUGAGUUCGUUGGAGGACUCCACUGCAAACCUGCCAAACCCCUACCGAAGGAAAUGGAAGAGUUUGUCCAGAGCUCUGGAGAAAAUGGUGUUGUGGUGUUUUCUCUGGGGUCGAUGGUCAGUAACACGUCAGAAGAAAGGGCCAAUGUAAUUGCAUCAGCCCUUGCCAAGAUCCCACAAAAGGUUCUGUGGAGAUUUGAUGGGAAUAAACCAGAUACUUUAGGACUCAAUACUCGGCUGUACAAGUGGAUACCCCAGAAUGAUCUUCUUGAUAUAAAGAGAAUGCUAUGAAAUUAUCAAGAAUUCAUCAUGAUCAACUAGUGAAGCCCCUUGAUCGAGCAGUCUUCUGGAUUGAAUUUGUCAUGCGCCAUAAAGGAGCCAAGCACCUUCGGGUUGCAGCCCACGACCUCACCUGGUUCCAGUACCACUCUUUGGAUGUGAUUGGGUUCCUGCUGGCCUGUGUGGCAACUGUGAUAUUCAUCAUCACAAAAUGUCUGUUUUGUGUCUGGAAGUUUGCUAGAACAGCAAAGAAGGGGAAAAGAGAUUAAUUACGUCUGAGGCUGGAAGCUGGGAAACCCAAUAAAUGAACUCCUUCAGUUUAUUACAACAAGAAGACGUUGUGAUACAAGAGAUUCCUUUCUUCUUGUGACAAAACAUCUUUCAAAACUUACCUUGUCAAGUCAAAAUUUGUUUUAGUACCUGUUUAACCGUUAGAAAUAUUUCAUGUCAAGGAGGAAAACAUUAGGGAAAACAAAAAUGAUAUAAAGCCAUAUGAGGUUAUAUUGAAAUGUAUUGAGCUUAUAUUGAAAUUUAUUGUUCCAAUUCACAGGUUACAUGAAAAAAAUUUACUA